UACGUAGGGACCGAGCGUUGUCCGGAAUCAUUGGGCGUAAAGCGCGUGUAGGCGGCCCGAUAAGUCCGCUGUGAAAGUCCAGGGCUCAACCCUCGAAUGCCGGUGGAUACUGUCGGGCUAGAGUGCGGAAGAGGCGAGUGGAAUUCCUGGUGUAGCGGUGAAAUGCGCAGAUAUCAGGAGGAACACCAAUUGCGAAGGCAGCUCGCUGGGACGUAACUGACGCUGAGACGCGAAAGCGUGGGGAGCAAACAGG
rnacentral:rRNA from 1 species